UGUUUAGCAACAAAGGCUUUCUGGAUUCCC
rnacentral:piRNA from 1 species